GAGAUUUUAGUAUAAUAAAGUAUAUCUUUUUUUCAUAAAGGAGGUUUAUAAUCUUA
rnacentral:tRNA from 1 species